UGGGGAAUAUUGGACAAUGGGGGCAACCCUGAUCCAGCCAUGCCGCGUGAGUGAUGAAGGCCUUAGGGUUGUAAAGCUCUUUCGCCGGUGAAGAUAAUGACGGUAACCGGAGAAGAAGCCCCGGCUAACUUCGUGCCAGCAGCCGCGGUAAUACGAAGGGGGCUAGCGUUGUUCGGAAUUACUGGGCGUAAAGCGCACGUAGGCGGAUGUUUAAGUCGGGGUGAAAUCCCAGGGCUCAACCCUGGAACUGCCUUCGAUACUGGACGUCUCGAGUCCGAGAGAGGUGAGUGGAAUUCCGAGUGUAGAGGUGAAAUUCGUAGAUAUUCGGAAGAACACCAGUGGCGAAGGCGGCUCACUGGCUCGGAACUGACGCUGAGGUGCGAAAGCGUGGGGAGCAAACAGGAUUAGAUACC
rnacentral:rRNA from 1 species